rfam:Schistosoma rodhaini strain Burundi genome assembly, scaffold: SROB_scaffold0012183
AUCCAGCUGACGAGUCCCAAAUAGGAUGAAACGCGCUUCCUGGAU